rnacentral:lncRNA from 12 species
CCCCCCCCCCCCCCCCCCCCCCCCCCCCCCCCCCCCCCCCCCCCCCCCCGGACAAUGAGGGGACAGGGAGGGGACAGGGAGGGGACAAUGAGGGGACAGGGAGGGGACAAUGAGGGGACAAUGAGGGGACAUCCCCAGAAUUUUGGGGUGAAUUCCCAGGUUCUGGGUAAAUUCCCAGGGUUUGGGGUGAAGCAGGAUUUAGGGUCAGGGUUUGGGGUGAAUUCCCAGGGUUUUGGGGUCCACUCCCAGAUUUGGGGUCCAUUCCCAGGGUUUAGGGUCAGGAUUUGGGGUCCAUUGCCAGGUUUGGGGUGGAUUAUCAGGAUUUGGGGUGCACUGCCAGGUUUGGGGUCAGGGUUUUGGGGUCCAUUCCCAGGUUUGGGGUCAGGAUUUGGGGUCCACUCCCAGGUUUGGGGUCAGGAUUUGGGGUCCACUCCCAGGUUUGGGGUCAGGAUUUGGGGUCCACUCCCAGGUUUGGGGUCAGGAUUUGGGGUCCACUCCCAGGUUUGGGGUCAGGAUUUGGGGUCCACUCCCAGGUUUGGGGUCAGGUUUUGGGGUGCACUGCCAGGUUUGGGGUCAGGUUUUGGGGUGCACUGCCAGGUUUGGGGUCUCUCACCCCCUCGGAGAUGAAGGUGCUGAAGCGCGGCAACAUCUGGUACAGACCAGGGUCAGUGGCGAUGCUCUG